CGAUGAUAGGGAGCAAAGCCGACGACCGUCUCCCACCCGCCCAGCGGCGCAACUACAAGAGCGUCGUGGACGCCAUAACCCAAAUGACCAAGAACGAGAGCGUCACCGUACCAGCCUAUGGCGCGACUCCUCUAUCACCGUCAAUCGGGCCAUGCUAGUCAUGGCCAACCAUUUGACAUCUUACGACCAGUUCAAGGAAACGAUCCUGGAAAAAGGAAUCAUGAAGGACGGGCUCGGGACCCAAGUGACGGUGAGCUUCACUGCCGGGUUCGUGGCGGCGGUGGCAUCGAAUCUGGUGGACGUGCUGAAGACGAG